UCAGAGGCGAUGAAGGACGUGCUAAUCUGCGAUAAGCGUCGGUAAGGUGAUAUGAACCGUUAUACCCGACGAUUUCCGAAUGGGGGAAACCCAAUAUCCCAUGGAUAUUAUCAUUAACUGAAUACAUAGGUUAAUGAGGCGAACCGGGAGAACUGAAACAUCUCAGUACCCCGAGGAAAAGAAAUCAACCGAGAUUCCCCUAGUAGCGGCGAGCGAACGGGGGAACAGCCCAGAGUCUUAAUCAAUGGCAGCAUCAGGAGAACGGUCUGGAAAGUCCGGCAGUAAAGGGUGAUAGCCCCGUAUCCGAAGAUGCUGUUAUUGUGAACUCGACGAGUAGGGCGGGACACGUGUUAUCCUGUCUGAAUAUGGGGGGGACCAUCCUCCAAGGCUAAAUACUCCUGAUUGACCGAUAGUGAACCAGUACCGUGAG
rnacentral:rRNA from 1 species